rnacentral:rRNA from 1 species
UACAGAGGGGGCAAGCGUUAUUCGGAUUCACUGGGCGUAAAGGGUGCGCAGGCGGCCAAGUGUGUGAGGCGUGAAAGCCCGGGGCUUAACCCCGGAAUUGCACCUCAAACUACAUGGCUAGAGCAUUGGAGAGGGUAGCGGAAUUCACGGUGUAGCAGUGAAAUGCGUAGAUAUCGGGAGGAACACCAAUGGCGAAGGCAGCUCGCUGGGACGGUACUGACGCUGAGGCGCGAAAGCGUGGGGAGCAAACAGG